rnacentral:rRNA from 1 species
CACCGCGGUUAUACGAGAGGCCCAAGUUGACAAAUACCGGCGUAAAAUGUGGUUAACAUGACAAUGCACUAAAGCUAAACAUCUUCAGAGCUGUUAUACCCACAUGAAGACAGGAAGUACUUCUACGAAAGUGGCUUUAAACAAUGCUAUCCACGAAAGCUAGGAAA